CCAACGGGCGGCAGCAGUGAGGAAUUUUGCGCAAUGGGAGCAAUCCUGACGCAGCAACGCCGCGUGGGUGAUGAAGGCCUUCGGGUCGUAAAGCCCUGUCAGGUGGGAAGAAUGUCCUGGAAUUGAACAGGUUUCGGGAGUGACGGUACCACCAGAGGAAGCACCGGCUAACUCCGUGCCAGCAGCCGCGGUAAUACGGAGGGUGCAAGCGUUAUUCGGAAUUACUGGGCGUAAAGCGCGUGUAGGCGGUCCUGCAAGUCUGAUGGGAAAGCCCCGGGCUUAACCCGGGAAGUGCAUUGGAAACUGCAGGUCUUGAGUACUGGAGAGGAUGGGGGAAUUCCCGGUGUAGAGGUGAAAUUCGUAGAGAUCGGGAGGAAUAUCAGUGGCGAAGGCGCCCAUCUGGACGGUAACUGACGCUGAGACGCGAAAGCGUGGGGAGCAAACA
rnacentral:rRNA from 1 species